CUGAGAUCAGGCGCUAUAAAUUUACCAAGGUGACUCAAAAUUUCUAUCCCGAAACUUGAAUUACUUGAUUGGCAUUUAAAACGUAAGGUAACAUCAAGUUUAUAAUGAGUUUGAAGUUCUUCGCCUUCCUUUCGCUUGCAAUACUUGUUUCUUUUACCGUGGCUUUGCCAUACCAUAAAGCAAACUUUGCCACAACACUUGGGAAAAGCGGUUACUUUAAAGCGGAGCCUAAAGAAGAGAAACGAGCUCCAUGUGCCAAUACCCGAGAUGAUUACUACUGCUUUUUAGAGUCGGUGUAUGAGAAUGCGUGCGAUACUUCACCAGCUGAGAUGAAGCAAAAAUGUUCGUUAACUUGCGACUUUUGUUGACCCACUUUAUCAGAAGAAAAAGGAAGCCGUGAAAGCUUAGUGAAAAGUUAAUUGCCUAGAACAUUUUGACACGUACUGUACCUGCGGAGCUGAUAUUGUGUUGUCAAACCACUUAAUUAAGUGCAAUAACAGUGAUAAAAUAACUAGUUUCGUUGCUUGCAUUUGUAAUGGGAAUGCAGAUAGUUAGCUUCUUAAAGAGCAGCUUAAAACACUUAGUUAAUUGUCGACUUUGAAGAUGCAUUGCGUACCAACUGAGGAUUUUUAAGGAUUCAUGGAGUUUAACGACAAUAAACAAUUUUUUUUUCAUUUGUGUUACCUUGAUAAUCAUUCAUGAAAAGCCGUAAGCGAAAGAAAACAUAUGUAACUAGCUACGCCAUCAUAUAAAAUAAACGGAAAAAACAAGACUUA